AAAAAAAAAAAAAAAGAAGAAGAAGAAGUCUGAAGAACACCAGGGCCUUCUGAGUUGGCAGCUCCACAGGAAUCUCAGACCAGUUUAGACCCCUCUCCCCAAGGAUACAUGAAGAGUUCAAUUGGCAACAUUGUAACUGGUUUAUGCAUUUUGAAGUGCUUUCUACAUAUCCGCCCAGAGGCUCUGCUGAUUUCACUUAUGCCCAGGCUAUAAAAUGCUUUCCUCUCAUC